rnacentral:snoRNA from 1 species
CCCCUCUUAGGAUUGUACCUGGAGAGUUUCUGGUAUUCUACCAGUUUUGGCUAUGGGAGGGAGAGUCAAGCAGAGGCCUGUCCAUUCCAUCCCUAGCUUGGAUAGUGGCUAGCAAGUGGAAGGCAAUCUCCUACAAGU